GACGAACGCUGGCGGCGUGCCUAACACAUGCAAGUCGAACGGAAAGGCCCUGCUUUUGUGGGGUGCUCGAGUGGCGAACGGGUGAGUAACACGUGAGUAACCUGCCCUUGACUUUGGGAUAACUUCAGGAAACUGGGGCUAAUACCGGAUAGGAGCUCCUGCUGCAUGGUGGGGGUUGGAAAGUUUCGGCGGUUGGGGAUGGACUCGCGGCUUAUCAGCUUGUUGGUGGGGUAGUGGCUUACCAAGGCUUUGACGGGUAGCCGGCCUGAGAGGGUGACCGGCCACAUUGGGACUGAGAUACGGCCCAGACUCCUACGGGAGGCAGCAGUGGGGAAUAUUGCACAAUGGGCGGAAGCCUGAUGCAGCAACGCCGCGUGCGGGAUGACGGCCUUCGGGUUGUAAACCGCUUUCGCCUGUGACGAAGCGUGAGUGACGGUACUGGGUAAAGAAGCACCGGCUAACUACGUG
rnacentral:rRNA from 1 species